GUCAAUAUACAGCGGUACGCAUGUGAUAAAUUCCGAAUGCCGUGAUCAUGUCUUGGAAUAUUUUUGACACGAACUGAGUGAAUCACCUCAGACCACUUCCUGCAUCGCUGGUGAUAGCGGAUAACGACGAUCCUUAAACGGUACUGCGACCUCCACCUACUGGAUAUGGUGCUGUUCUGCUGCAGUAGUUCCUAGCCCGGCUUCUUCGUCCCAAGCUUCUACCUCCGUUCCUUGUCUUCUAUCUUCCGCAUAGUGGCUGAUCUGGGACAUCUUGACUUCAGCUACUUGGGCGUGACUGGAUUCGCUGUUUUCGUCGCCUAGAACUGCUGGAGACAACUCAAAAGAUCUCCAGAAAUCGAUCCCCAAGUAC